AAAGAAAUAUCGCAUAACACCAUUGUCUGUAUAUAAAUAAAUAGAGUACUCCUUCAUUUGUUAUAAAAAAAAAAAAAAAAGUUAAGAAACGAAAAAGACUUCCUACAUUAUUCAGACACAUUUUUCACGCUAAAAAAUGACAAAACAAUCUGCAACAAGUGUCCUACUUAUUGCACUCCUUUUCUCAGCAAUGAUGAUGAUGAUAUCUGCACAAAAGAUAUGUCAACAACCUUUACAAGGAGUUACGUGCGAUGAAGGGCAAGGCAGUCUUUAUGAAUGUGGGCAAAAAUGUUACGCAUUAUUACCAAGCCAUCCAAGAGGAAUUUGCGUUGAAGAUCCUAACAAGCUAGAGCACUACCAAUGUGUCUGUUUAGUCCCAUGUUGAUAUCAUCAUGGGAUGUUAAGAGCCUUCAUUUAGAUCACAUGUUAUUUAACUUUAUUAUGUUAUGUGUUGCUAAUUGCAUCACUGAUUGAUUAUUGAUAAUAAUAAUGAUACAUUUUCAC